AUUGAACGCUGGCGGCAGGCUUAACACAUGCAAGUCGAGCGGGGUGAUGGUGCUUGCACUAUCACUUAGCGGCGGACGGGUGAGUAAUGCUUAGGAAUCUGCCUAUUAGUGGGGGACAACAUCUCGAAAGGGAUGCUAAUACCGCAUACGUCCUACGGGAGAAAGCAGGGGAUCACUUGUGACCUUGCGCUAAUAGAUGAGCCUAAGUCGGAUUAGCUAGUUGGUGGGGUAAAGGCCUACCAAGGCGACCAUCUGUAGCGGGUCUGAGAGGAUGAUCCGCCACACUGGGACUGAGACACGGCCCAGACUCAUCCGGGAGGCAGCAGUGGGGAAUAUUGGACAAUGGGGGGAACCCUGAUCCAGCCAUGCCGCGUGUGUGAAGAAGGCCUUAUGGUUGUAAAGCACUUUAAGCGAGGAGGAGGCUCUUUUGGUUAAUACCCAAGAUGAGUGGACGUUACUCGCAGAAUAAGCACCGGCUAACUCUGUGCCAGCCGCCGCCGUAA
rnacentral:rRNA from 1 species